rnacentral:rRNA from 1 species
GACGAACGCUGGCGGCGUGCUUAACACAUGCAAGUCGAACGAGUGGCGAACGGGUGAGUAACACGUGGGUGAACUGCGGUGCACUACGGGAUAAGCUUGGGAAACAGGGUGUAAUACCGGAUAGAGCAAGGUGAGCGGUCGGGCUAUCAGCUUGUUGGGGGGGUAAUGGCUACCAAGGCGGGACGGGUAGCCGGCCUGAGAGGGUGGACGGCGACCUUGGGACUGAGAGACGGCCCAGACUCCGACGGGAGGCAGCAGUGGGAAAUAUUGCACAAUGGGCGGAAGCCUGAUGCAGCGGCGCCGCGUGUGGGAUGAAGGCCUUCGGGUUGUAAACUCCUUUCGACAGGGACGCGGUACCUGUAUAAGAAGCACCGGCUAACCACGUGCCAGCAGCCGCGGUAAUUCC